AACGCACCUUGCGCCCUUUGGUAUUCCGAAGGGCAUGCCUGUUUGAGUGUCAUUAAAUUAUCAACCUUGUUCGCUUUUACGAGCUUGAGCGAGGCUUGGAUGUGAGGGCCUGCUGGCUUCCUUCAGUGGAUGGUCUGCUCCCUUUAAAUGCAUUAGUGGGAUCUCUUGUGGACCGUCACUUGGUGUGAUAAUUAUCUAUGCCAUUUGACUGUGAAGCAAAAUUAUGGGAACCUGCUUAUAACCGUCUCGCAAGGGACAAUUUAAUUGACUAUUUGACCUCAAAUCAGGUAGGACUACCCGCUGAACUUAA
rnacentral:misc_RNA from 1 species